rnacentral:lncRNA from 1 species
AAUAAUCUAUAUAAAGUGUACUACAAAUUUGGGCUUCUUUAUUGGACAUUCAUUUUAUGUUCUUCCACUAUCAACACGUGUACACUAUUUCUUUCUACUUGCAAAUCACCAAGACUUUCUUACUUUGGUUUCUCCUCCUCUUUUCAAUUCUCUUUUCUCUUCUUUAUUUGCCAUUAAAUUUCACUCAAGAGGGCGACAAAGUAUUUGAAAAGAAGAAAUAUUUUAGGCCACAUCUAUUUCUUCUUGGAGCAAAAUUAGAUCUCACUACUUGAAAGGGUAAGAAGAUAUCUUCUUAUACUUUUUUUUUUACCUUUUUUGUGCAAUUAAUACUUUUUUAGGUUAAUAUAUAGUAGGAAGAUUUUAGGUGUAAAGUUUCCUCAUUUUCUUUUUUCUUUUGUAUAGGAAAUUUUGAGGAAAUCGAUUCUAAAAAAGAUGGAGAUUGUUUCUCUUGCUCAAACGGAGAAAAUUUUGCUAUCUUAAUCAUGCUUUGGUAUGUGUUAAUUGUUUUUGGUUAUUUUGGAUUUUUUUCUGUUGAAUUUUCAAUCUAAUCCUUUUCUUUAUGUGUAUGUUUAGAAAAGUGAUACUCGAUUUCUAGCUUCUCCUUAGAAGUGAUUUUUUUUCUAGGAUAGAUCUGUAAAUAUUAUCGUAGUUUUCUAAUUAAAGGAUUUUACUUAUUAGGAGAGGCACAAACAGAUUUGUAUUCAUAUGUUUCUCCACUUCAAAUAUGAAUACUAAUUUUUCUAGUCAGUAUCAUUAUGAUUAUGUGCUAUAUCUAAAUUGUUCCUUUUAAGUUAUAUCUAACUCUUGCUCUUUGUUUCAAAUAGUUAGUUCGAAUUUUUCUUUUGAAUUUUAGAUUUCUUAUGAUAUGUGGCCUUCUGUCAAGUCCACUUGUCUAAGUUGAGUUUAAAAGUGAUCUGUGUGGAAUUCGAGGUGUUGUUGUCUUCUAUAUUUCACAUCUUUUCUUUACCAUGUGAUAGUAGAAGUAGUAUUAUAUUGUACACUCUUUAUCGAUUCUCUGAUUAGUUGCUGCAAUAUUCACGCCACUGCUAUCUUUUGUUGCUAUUUGUCAUAUUUGUGUCUUCUGGGAUAGAGUUGAAGCCAAGAGACUGCAAAACUUUAGGCAGAAAUUUUAAAUUUUUUAGCUUCUUGAUUUCUUUUGUAUAGUACAUAGAUUUUGGACUAGGGAAAAAACAACCAACAACUAUAGGAAAAUAAUUACACGAAAUAGACUAUAAUAACAUGAAGAUGAUUUAACUUAUAUACACUGCAAUGUUGUGAAUAUAUGUUACCCAAUGAUUCGUGAAAUUUAGUUAGUCAAUACGUAUAGAGUUGUUUCUACAGAAUUGAUGCAUUGAGUAAUUCAUAUCUAUUUGCCAUGUAUUUCUCAGAACAUCUUCCCCUUUGAACUAUAUGAUGCUUUGAAUGUCUAUUGGCAGGCUAUUAACAAUUAGGAAACCUUUAUAUUCUACCUUUCCUUUAGGCAAAUUUUAAUCUUUACAUUGAUCAAACAUCAAUAAUUGAUUUCACUGUAUUUAUAUAUGUACAUUUAAUUACAGGAAGUAUCUUCCUCAUUUUGGUACUUUUGGUUAUUUAAAAGAAUAAUUUUAGGAUUCUUAAUCGACACAACUUCAAUUGGUAUGAAGGACCAAUUAUUACAAGUUAGGGAGAAGGAAGUAAAAAAAUGGUAUGCAACUUUUCCAAGUUUGGCGCUCUUCCUCAAAUUUAUUUUGCAUAUAUGUGUACUUAAUACUAUUUUGUAUCAAUUUCUUCGCAAAUUUAAAAUUUUUAUCACUCAACAGUGCAUAUAUAGCUUUCGAGCUUCAUAUUCAACAAACAAAAAAAAAGAACCUCAUAUAGCUUUCGUGAUUCUUUAUUCUAAAUAGUACUGAUAAUAGCAUCUUAUCUUUUUGUUGGUCACGAUGAGAAAUAAAAAGAUUUUUGACAGAUGGCUACAUGACUUGAUGAGUAAGGACCAGUAAUUAGAAAUACUAUGAUUUACUUACUUCGUACAUAGAAUUGUAACUCAAUAUUUAGGUAAACAUGGUAAAGAUCUAAGUCUUUCGUGGUAAUUUGUCAAACACAAAGACAAUUCAUGUUUUACUCAAAACUAGUUAAGAAUAUUAUGAUUUUGAUAUAAUAUAUGUCAUAUUUGUUCAUCAUCAAAGAUUUAAAGUAGAUGGUAUGAAGUAUGAGAGAUCUAUUCUUACGGGAUAUUUCUCAUUUUGCAUCUCUUGUGCUGAACCAAUUACAAUAAAUGUUCUCUUAUAAAUCUGUAAAGGUAUCAAUUCAGUCAAUGCAUUUGUUUUAUUAUUCUAGGCAACAAAGUAAGGCAAUCCUGAAAUUCCCCAUUUUGGGAACGUCCAGUGCCAAUGUCAGUGAAUGAGUAAGUCACCAAUCCCUGGACUAUGUAAUGUGCUUUAUCUGCUGACUUCUCUUUCUAUUCAACCUCAAAAGCAGACCACUUUUUCAUCUGAUGCUGCAGUACAAACGAUCCUACAUCUGCAUAUGGAGUAGGCAUAAAGGUCAUUCAAAAGACAAUUACCAAAAAUAGUGUAAAUUGUCAUAUGCUUAAACCAACAUUGACAUAAAAGUAUGGAUUUGUCACCAUAGCAUUUUACUGUCCAAUACACUUUAUAAUUAGUGUCCGAAAAGAAAGGAUCCAUCCUAACAGCUUGAGAUCUUUGAUUAUCUAUAGACAAAAACAUAGUCAAAACCCAAAUAUAUGAAAAAGAUCAAUAUGAUCAAUGAAGUUACAAUAGUCCAGCUACCAUGAAUAAACAUGUAUAUCUCAUACAGAAAGCUUAUCUAAGAAGGAUUAAAAGAAUUUUGCAACGUUUCUGUGUACAUGAGAGCGCUUGGUGUACUCAUCUUCUCUUUAGCUUUGAAGUUAGUAUGCCUAAUUUGAAACACGAACAACUAAGCACUGAAAAUAAUAAAAUAAAGAGAAUUCAUCUUUGAAAUUAGGCCUACAAACUACAAAAAUAAAGAGAAGAUGAGUACACCAAACUUUGUUAUAUAAAGAGAAGCGUAGAAAAAUUCUUUCAAUUCAUUCUUAAAUACGCUUUCUGUGUCAGAUACACAUGUUUGUUCAUGGUGGCUGCACUAUUGUAACUUCAUUGAUCAUAUUGAUCUUUUUCAUAUAUUUGAGUUUUGACUAUGUUUUUGUCUCUAGGAAAUCAAAGAUUUCAAGCUGUUAGGACGGAGCCUUUCUUUUCUGGCACUAAUUGUAAAUUGUAUCGGACACUAAAAUGCUAUGGUAACAAAUCCAUACUUCUAUGUCAAGGUUAGUUCAAACAUAUGACAUUUUAGUCUAUUUUUGGAAAUUGACGUUUGAAUUACAUUUAUGCCUACUCCAUAUGAAGAUGUAGGUACCAGUUAUACUGUUGUAUCAACUGAAAAAUGGUAUGCUUUUGGUGCUGAACAAAAAGAAUAUUCAGCAGAUAAAAUAUAUUACAUAGUUCAGGAAUUGGUGACUUACUCAUUUAGUGACAUUGGCACUGGACUUUCCCAAAAUGGGGACUUACAUGAUUGCCCUGCUUUGUUGCCCUAGAAUAAGAAAACAAUUGCAUUGUCUAGAAACCUUUAUAGACUUGUAAGAGAAUAUUUGUUUUACUUGGUAGAGCGUAAGAGAUACAAAAUGCGAAGUAUCCCCUAAGAAUAGAUCUCUUAUCAGUUCAUACUUCAUAUCAUCUACUUUAGAUCUCUGUUGAUCAACUAACAUGACAUAUAUUAUAUCAAAAUCAUAAUAUUCUCAAAAAGUUUAAGUAAAACACUAAUAAUCUUUAUGUGUGACAAAUAACUAUGAAAGAAUUAGAUUUUUAUCAUGUUUACCGAAAAAUUGAGUAACAAUUUUAUGCAUGAAGUAAGUAAAUUAUAAUAUUUCUAAUUACUGGUCCUUAUCCUCUUCAAGUCAUGUAGUCAUCUUCAAGUUUUAAAUUUAACAGUUUUUUCUGUUGGAUUUUUUAUAUAAGCUUUUUUGAUAUGUAUAUGUUUAGAAAAGUGAUACUCAGUUUCUAGCUUCUUCUCAGAAGUGAUCUUUUUUCGAUUUCUAUGAUAAAUAUGUAAAUAUUGCCAUAGUUUUCUAAUUAAAUGAAGUUACUUUUUAGGAGUGGGACAAACAAAUAUGUAUUUAUGAGCUUCUCCACUUAAUAUUUGAAUACUCAUUUUUCUAGUCAGCAUCAUAUGCUAUGUCUAAAUUGUUCCUUUUAAGUUAUAUAUCACUCUUGCUCUUUAUUUCAAAUAGUUAAUUCAGGUUAUUCUUUGAAUUUAAGAUUUCUUAUGAUAUUUGGUCUUCUUGUCAAGUCCCAGUUGGUUAAGUCGAGUGUAAGAGUGGCAUGUGAGAUUCGAAGUGUUGUGGUCCUCAAAAUUUCACAUCUUCUCUUUAACUUGUGACAAUAGAAGUAGUGUUCAGUUGUAUACUCUUUAUCGAUUCUCUGAUUAGUUGUUGCAAUAUUUACGACAUUGCUAUCUUUUGUUGCUAUUUGUUAUAUUUGUGUAUUUUGGGAUAGAGUUGAGGCUAAGUGAUUGCAUCACUUCCUGCAGAAAUUUUCAUUUUUUAGAUUCUUGAUUUCUUUUGCAUAGUACAUAUAAUUUGGAGUAGGGAGAAAACAUAAUAACUAUAGGAAAAUAAUUACACGAAACAAACUAUAAUAACAUGAAAAUGAUAUGACUUACAUAAACUGCGAUGUUGUGAAUAUAUGUUACCCUAUGAUUCGUGAAAUUUAGUUAACCAAUACCUGUAAAGUUGUUUCUGUAGAAUUGAUACAUUGAGUAAUUCAUAUCCGUUUGCUAUGUAUUUCUCAGAAUAUCUUCAUCUUUGAACUAUAUGAUGCUCUGAAUGUCUAUUGGCAGGUUGUUAACAAUUAGGAAACUUUUAUGUUCUACAUUCCUUCAGGCAAAUUUUAGUCUUUACAUUGAUCAAACAUCAUUAAUUUAUUUCAUUUUAUUGAUAUGCUUACAUAUAAUUACAGGAAGUAUCUUCCUCAUUUUGGUACUUUUGGUUACUGAAAAGAAUAAUUUUUGGUAUUCUCAUUCGACACAGCCUCAAUUGGUAUGAAGGACCAAUUAUUACAAGUUAGGUAGAAGAAAGUACAAAGAUGGUAUGCAACUUUUUCAAGUUUGACGUUCUUCCUUUAAUUUAUUUUGCAUAUAUGUGUACUUAAUACAAUUUUGUCUCAAUUUCUUUUCAAAUUUGAAUUUAUAUCACGCAACGCUGCAUAUUUGACAAGAUAGCUUUUGAGCUUUUUAUUCAUUUAAAAAAAGGGAACCUUAUAUCGCAUUCGUGAUCCUUUAUUCUUUAUAGUACUGGUAGUAGAACCUCCUUCUUAUGUUGGUCACGAUAAGGAAUAAAAAGAUUUUUGAACGAUGACUACAUGACUUGACGAGUAUAAGGACCAGUAAUUAGAAAUACUAUGAUUUACUUACUUCGUGUAUAUAGUUAUAACUCAAUGUUUUGGUAAACAUAAUAAAUAUCUAAUUCUUUCGUAGUUAUUUGCUAAGCAUAAAGACUAUUAGUGUUUUACUUCAAACUUGUUAAGAAUAUUAUGGUUUUGAUAUAAUAUAUAUCAUAUUUUUUCAUCAUCAAAGAUUUAAAGUAGAUGGCAUGAAGUAUAAACUGAAUAAGAGAUCUAUCUUAUGAGAUAUUUCUCAUAUUGUAACUCAUGUGCUCUAUCAAUUACAACAAAUCUUCUCUUAUAAGUCUAUAAAAGUACCAAUUCCAGUCAAUGCAUUUGUUUUCUUAUUCUAGGAAACAAAGUAGGGCAAUCUUGAAAGUCCCCAUUUUGGGAACGUCCAGUGCCAAUGUCAAUGAAUGAGUAAGUCACCAAUCUCUGAACUAUGUAAUGUACUUUAUCUGCUGACUUUUCUUUCUAUUCAGCCUAAAAAACAGACCAUUUUUCAUCUGAUGCAGCAAUAUAACCAAUUUUCCUAUAUCUGCAUAUGGAGUAGACAUAAAGGUCAUUCAAAAUCCAAUUACCAAAAAUAGAAUAAGUUGUCAUAUGCUACCAACCUUGACAUAUAAGAAUGGAUUUGUCUUCAUAGCAUUUUGGUGUCCAAUACACUUUACAGUCAGUGCCUGAAAAGAAAGGCUCCAUCCUAGUAGCUUGAGAUCUUUGAUUACCUAUAGACAAAAACGUAGUAAAAACUCAAAUAUAUUUACAAGAUCAAUAUGAUCAAUGAAGUUACACUAGUCCAGCCACCAUGAACAAACACAUAUAUCUCAUACAGAAAGCCUACUUAAGAUAGAAUUGAAGGAAUUUUGCUACGUUUCUCUACAUGACACAACUUGGUUUACUCAUCUUCUCUUUAACUUUGAAGUUAGUGUGCCUAAUUUAAACACGAAUGACCAAGCACUAAAAAUAAUAUAAUAAAGAGAACUCGCCUUCUAAAUGAGGCUUACUAACUUCAAAAAUAAAGAGAAGAUGAGUACACCAAGCUCUGUCAUAUAAAAAGAAAUGUAGAAAAAUUCUUUCAAUUCAUUCUUAAAUAAGCUUUCUUUAUGAAAUAUAUGUGUUUGUUCAUGGUGGUUGCGCUAUUGUAACUUCAUUAAAAAUAUUGAUCUUUUUUGGAAUAAUGCACAAGUACCCCUUCAACUUAUACUUGAAAUCUGAGAAACACACUUAUACUAUACUAAGGUCCUAUUACCCCCUGAAAUUAUUAAAUUAAUAAUUUUCUACACCUUUUCGACCUACGUGACACUAUCUUGUGGGUCUACGCUGGUUGACUUUUUUUUUCAAGCUAGUGUCAUGCAGGACGAAAAGGGUAGAAAAUUACUUAUAGAAUAAGUUCAGAGGUGGGGGGAGGGGGUAAUAGGAUCUUAGUAUAGUAUAAGUGUGACUCUGGGAUUUCGGACAUAGAUUGAGGAGGUACUUGUGCAUUAUUCCAUCUUUUUUUUAUAUAUAUAUAUUUGGGUUUUGACUAUGUUUUCGUCUAUAGAAAAUCAAAGAUCUCAAGUUGUUAGGAUGAAGCCUUUCUUUUCGGACACUGAUUGUAAAGUGUAUUGGACACUAAAAUGCUAUGGUAAAAGAUCCAUUCUUUUAUGUCAAAAUUGGUUCAAGCAGAUGAUAAUUUACUCCAUUUUUGGAAAUUGACAUUUGAAUAACCUUUAUGCCUACUCCAUAUGCUGAUGUAUGAACCGAUUAAACUGUUGCAUCACAUGAAAAAUUAUCUUCUUUUGAGGCUGAAUAAAAAUAAAAGUUAGCAGAACACUGCAUAGUCCAGGGAAUGGUGACUUACUCAUUCAAGUAAUGACAUUAGGUCAUUCUUGGUCAUUGCACUACGAACCUAAUGAAAGUCUUAAACUACAUCCUAGGUAUAGCUGGUGUUUUACACUGGCCUAUGAAUGAAAUGAAAUGGAGUACGUAUGAAUGAACGAAGCAGACUCUGUGUUUGCUAAUGAAGACUCUCUAGUUGAGGUCUCAUCUGUUGAGCCCUCAUUUCUGAGAUGUCUUGAUGUUAAAUCCAUGAUUCCAAGGUCUCAUGGCAUAUGAAUGAAUUAUAUUAAAGAAGUUAUGUGCUACACGCAAAAUGUGAUGUAUGCUAUAUGAUAUGUGCUAUGCGUAAAAUGUUAUGUGCUGUGUGAAAAUGUGAAAAGUAUGAUGAUGUAUGUUAUUCUCAUGGCAUAACUUUUCUAUUCCAAAUCUGGAAAGCUCACUGACUUUCCUAUUCCAAAUUUGUAAAGCUCAUUGACUUUUCUAAUCCAAAUUUGUAAACUUUCCUAAUCUCAAUUUGGCAAGUCCACUGACUUGACUUCCAAAAAUCAUGUUGUUAGGAAAUAGGUAUUAUUUCUCAUGCAUGUCCUUGGUGUGUGCUUGCAUAUACCCAUACUUAGUACAAGUGUGUACUAACCCUAUACAAACUCUAAUAUUUUAGGUGCAGGCACAGGGAGACGAUAGAGCUACAGGAUCAUCGCUGCAGUUAUCCGGGCGUCCAGCAUUCAUCCGGUUUUGGUAGGUUCUCAUGCUUUCAAGGAUGCUGUUGUUUUAUAUUCUAGCUUAGUUUUAGAGUUGAGCUAGUGGAGCAUGUUUUACUAGCGUUUCUUUUCUGUUUUUAUUCAGACUAUGUAUUGGUGCCAUUUUGACAAUUAUACACUUAAUAAGAAUUGGACUAUUUC